CAGUAGCCGCGGUAAUACGUAGGUGGCAAGCGUUGUCCGGAAUUAUUGGGCGUAAAGGGCUCGCAGGCGGUUUCUUAAGUCUGAUGUGAAAGCCCCCGGCUCAACCGGGGAGGGUCAUUGGAAACUGGGAAACUUGAGUGCAGAAGAGGAGAGUGGAAUUCCACGUGUAGCGGUGAAAUGCGUAGAGAUGUGGAGGAACACCAGUGGUGAAGGCGACUCUCUGGUCUGUAACUGACGCUGAGGAGCGAAAGCGUGGGGAGCGAACAGGAUUAGAUACCCCAGUAGUCCCUGUCUCUUAUAC
rnacentral:rRNA from 1 species